rnacentral:rRNA from 1 species
AACAUGCAGUCGAACGGUAGCACAGAGAGCUUGCUCUCGGGUGACGAGUGGCGGACGGGUGAGUAAUGUCUGGGAAACUGCCUGAUGGAGGGGGAUAACUACUGGAAACGGUAGCUAAUACCGCAUAACGUCGCAAGACCAAAGAGGGGGACCUUCGGGCCUCUUGCCAUCAGAUGUGCCCAGAUGGGAUUAGCUAGUAGGUGGGGUAACGGCUCACCUAGGCGACGAUCCCUAGCUGGUCUGAGAGGAUGACCAGCCACACUGGAACUGAGACACGGUCCAGACUCCUACGGGAGGCAGCAGUGGGGAAUAUUGCACAAUGGGCGCAAGCCUGAUGCAGCCAUGCCGCGUGUAUGAAGAAGGCCUUCGGGUUGUAAAGUACUUUCAGCGGGGAGGAAGGCAAUAAGGUUAAUAACCUUGUNCCAUUGACGUUACCCGCAGAAGAAGCACCGGCUAACUCCGUGCCAGCAGCCGCGGUAAUACGGAGGGUGCAAGCGUUAAUCGGAAUUACUGGGCGUAAAGCGCACGCAGGCGGUCUGUCAAGUCGGAUGUGAACAUCCCCGGGCUCAACCUGGGAACCUGCAUUACGAAAAUUGGCAGGCUUGGGAGUUCNUUGGUAGAAGGGGG